CCGAGCCUGGCAGCCGGUGUCUGCAGCUGCUCCGGCAGCCGCCGGAGCGCGCACAAGUGCGCAGGGAGCGCGGCGUCUCAGCGCCCGGACCAGCGGGGCGAGGGAAUUAGCCGCGUCAUUUCUGGCCAGCCUAGCAACACGUGUGUGCUGAUCCUGAUGGCUCCUGCCUGGCCACAGCGUCCCAGGGCAGGAAAGGGACGUGCGUUCUAAAGGAGACUUAAGGUUUGGGGUUGUACUUGUCCUGGCAGCAGGGAAGAUGAGACCAAGAUCAGGGACCCAGCGCGGGCUGCCCGUGGGACCUGGGAAAAAGAAAAAAUGUAUAUGUUAUCUUUCGGAAACCACCAGCUGUCAUCUCCACUGCACUUGGCCUGAUGGGUCCCCACGAGGAAGGCAGGGCCCGUCUAUUAGAGGAAUCAUCAGCCGCUGUGUGGAGCUGCUCUGGAAAUGACCGCAGUAACAGACAAUGUCUCAGGCAAGGUCAAACGUGCGAAUUUCAUAGAUGCCUCAACCAUCCAGAUUGUGCACGCAGAUUAUGCUUCAUUUCAAAAGUCCUAGAUCUUUGCUGUACUAUCUUUAUCCAUUCUUUUCACGGUUACAAAGAAAAAUAGGUGUGUAUUGUCAAAUAACUGAAAAAUACAUGCGAAUGGAAAUGGAAAUGGCCACUGCUGAUGAUUUAGUGCCUAUUGUCUGGGUCGUUAGACAUUUAUUUGUGGAUAAUAAUGUUACCUCUGUAUAGACAGUGUGCGGACAUUCUGCACAUGUAGUACUGUGCAGCAUUUUGCUGCUUGGCUUUGUUGAGAAGAUGGCUUUAGGGCCGAAUCACAUCCCUUCUUCUACGUGAUGUCCUCAGUCCGGAAUCGUCAUGUGUGCCAGGUGCUGCUGCAGGCUUUGGGAGUCCAAAAGUAAAUAAGAAAGGCAGCGUCUGGCUCCCCGGGGCUCAUCGUCACCUGGUGGAAGGGGCAGAAGCAGGAAUCGGUCAUCACAAAAGUGGUGAGUGCGACAGGAGGGGACAGGCCAUCACGCUGUCAGCGGGACAGGGGUGGAGCAGCCUCCCUGAGGAAGUACUGCUCUGGCAGAGCACCACCGGCUGUGCGCCGCAGGAAGUGGUCGGACUGGAGGUGGGAGGAACAGGACUUGGCUGUUAACUGCGUGUGAGGGAGGACCGAAGGGUGUCUUCAAGGCUUCUCGCUUGAGCAGCCAGGCGGGUAGCCCCAUGACUGACCUGCUGGUCUAGAAAUUACACUGUUUCCAUUUUUUCUUUCUUUCACUAUUAAUAAUGCUGCAGUGAACAUGCUUACACAUGAGUCUGUGACCCCUUUUCUCUCUGUGUCCUCAGGAUAGAGGGGUUCCUGAGUGGUAUAGGAUGGCAGUGUGUAAGGGUUUGAUAAGGGUCUUAUCAAAUCACCUUCCCACCCACAGCCACAAGAGGACUCAUUCUGUCACUCCCUGCAGUCAUGGAAUGGCCGUGGUGAUGGAACGUGCAUUAGUUCUCCCGAGUGGCCAUCCCUGCUCUAAGAACAUCACGUAUUUUCACCUAUUAAAUUCUCAUGACCACCACUCUACAGUAGGUGCUGUUGUCCUCACAUCACGGAGGAGCUAGAGGGGACCCUGCUGCCACCUCAUUCAGAGCUGACACUUAACCCAGCCAGUCUGACGCUGCGGAGUCUUCUUUUCAACACACAGGGUAGCAUUUUGUUUAGUGUGGCCAAUUUCAUAUUUUUACAAGUUUGUAUUUCCUUGAACACUGGUAAAUCUGAAUAUUUUAAUGUUUUCCUUUUCUAUCAUGUUUUUAGACAUGCAUGUUUGCAUGUAUGUGGUGGAGUGUGUGGAAUACUUAGUAUGGUGUGUCCUAUGGGGGGUGCGUUUAGAUUAUGUGCGUGCCUGUGGUGGUACAUGAGCGUGCAUGCGUGGAGUAGUGUGUGUACUGUGUGGGUGUUUGUGUGCCAGAGCGCACUGUCCAUUUACACCCACAAGGCCAUACAGCUCUGGAGUCAUGUAGGUCAGUGGCAACUUGGGCAAAUUAUGCUUCUGAGGGGAUAGCAGGACGUCCCUUUCCUCUUUGGAGAAGUCACCGCUCACAGCGAGGCUUGCUGCGGUCAGGGUGGUGUUUGGCCAUGGGCCUGAGCUCCACAGUUGCGUCUCUAAGAAUCUGUGUGGGCCACAGCUGGUGUCUGUCUGACUGUGAGGUUUCCUGUUGCACAACGAGACUUGAAGAACAGCCCGAGACCUGGCCUGAGGGACGCCAAGCUCUGCCCAGCCCUCUCCGUGUGGUCAGGAAGGAAGGACGUGCUCUCUGGCAAGUAAGGGACCCAUGGGAAGUCCCUCAUCGAGGGACAGGAGGCUUUGUUCCACUUCUCUCUCCCUUUCUUAGCUCCACUGAGCUGCUUCCCCUGUGGGCCUUGCAGGGGCCCCUCGUCUUUCUGCACCUUCCUUCCUCUUUCCACAGACAAAUUUUGGGGAGCACUUGCAGUAAGGGGCUUCCUACAUAUUGAAAACCUUGCAUCCUGCUGCAACACAAGCAGACGCAGUGGAGGAUGGAAACAGUAUUGAUAGGUAGAGGACGCAGACCCAGGGCACACCAGGGAACCGUGAGACAGCACCACGUGCUGGGCCACCCCUUCUAAGCAGUGGUCUUCGGAACCAGAUGUAUAAAAGUACCAGGAAAAGAAAGGAAGCCAAAGGUUAAAAAAGCAGACUACUGCCAUCAGGAACAAUGAAGUUUUAUGGCCAUGCUUGUCAAUGGCGUGGUUUACGAGUGAAACUCAGUGCCAGACUCACUGUGCGGGACGGGCACAGCUGAGGCGCCGCCGGCCUGGGGUGAGAACUGAAGAGAGGCCGGAGUCCCGUGCAUGAGCCUCAGUGUGGAAGCUUACCUGUGCCUGAAUCCUCCAACAUCAGCCCUGUCACCUCAAAGACCAAAGUCCCAGCGUUGUCUACGUUUCAGCUUGCCUGUCUCAAAGGUCUGUGCCGGCGCAGAGAGAUGUCCUGCAGCACCUGCCGAAGGCUCCAGCCCCUGAGCUGGGAGGCAAGAGGAGCAAGACACAGCCCUUCCUGGGGCGGAGCCGCCAGCCAGGGCUCAGUGAGAGCCUGUGGAGGACUGUGGCGUAAAGAGGUGCUAAGCCUCCCAGAAGGGGCCCCGAGCAUGUGGGGCUCACAUAAUGGAAUGUCACAUUUAGUGAAACAGUAAAAACGGUCUCAAAAGGAGAUGCUAUUUGAAAUGUUCAUAACAGCGUUAUUCAUAAGAGCCCCAAAGUAAAAACAAGCCAAAUGUCCAACAACUGCUGAUAGACAAAAUGUGGCCCGUCCAAACGGUGAACUACACUCAGCGAUAAAUGGGACUGAAGUUCUGACUCCUGUUACGGUGUAGAUGCAUCUUGAAACAUCAUGCUAAGUGAGAGAAGCCAGACACACAAGACCACAUACUAUGUGAUGCCUUCCUAUGAAAUGUCUAGAAUGGGCGAAUCUCCAGCGACAGAAGGAGGUGAAGUUCGAGAUGGGCCCUGGAGGUUAGAUUGCAGACGCCCAGAGGACUGACGGGCUCCUUCCACGGGAAACCCGUGUGCGGGGCUGAGGUGAGAAGGGGUGAGGUUAGAGUUUACCGCGUCCUUCCUCCGAGGGGUGCCGCUGAGACGCGCUGCCGUUCAGAGAUGCGGUGACCGCCAUCACGCGUGGGCAUCAUGAAGAGUUUCCUCCAGCUUCACUGAGGUGUAACUGACAAACAAAAUCGCAGUAUAUUUAAAGUGUACUAACACUGUGGUCCUUGUGAUCUUAUAGAUGUAUGUAUUUUGAGCGUGUGCCUACCUUUAGGUCCUUAAGUGACAUCCAUCAUAUUUAGCUUUAUUUUUUGGUGAGAACACUUAAGUUCUACUUUCUUAGCAAAUUUCAGUGAUGCAGUACUGUGUUAUCAGCUACAGUCAUCAUGCUGUGAUUAGACCCUCGGACCUCAUUCAUCUCAUAACUGAAGCUGCACAUCCUUCACCCGUCCCUCCCUACUCUCCCCACCCUGCCGGUCAGAGCUGCUGAUGACCAGCAUUCUGCUCUCUGUUUGUAACUUCUCAAGUUACACAAAUUUCACUUCUUAAGUUAUGUCAUACACCUGAAACUUAUAUAAUAUUUUAUGUCAACUGUAAUUAAAAUUUAAAUUUUUUUAUUGAUUAUGCCAUUACAUUUGUUCUAUUCCCCCCCUGUUCCCCUUCACCCUGCACACCCCUCCCCCACCAUUCCCCCCUUCAGUUCAUGAACACGUGUCUCAAGUUCUUUAGAUUCUGUAUUUCCCCUACUAUUCUUACCCUCCCCCUAUCUAUUUUCUAUCUAGUGUCUAUGCUACUUAUUUUCUGUACCUUCUCCCCCCUUCUCCUUCUCCCACUCAUGUGGAGAAUUAAAAAUUUUUUAUUACCAAAAGUAAUUACUGAUAAGUAUAUACUUGCUAUUGCUGUUUUGUUCACUGGUUUUUGGCUGUUUUGUAACUUCCUUCUUUCUUCCUUUCUUCUGUCUUCCUGUGUGAUUUGAUGAUUUUCUCUGGUGGUAUGCUUUGAUUCCUUGCUCUUUAUCUUUUGUUUAUCUACCGUAUAUUUUUUUCUUUGUAGUUACCAUGAAGUGUACAUAAAACAUCAUAUAUUUAUAGCAGUCUAUUUUAAGCUAAUAACAA